CCGGUCUGUGGACACCAGACAUGUUUCGCUACCGCCGCCCUGGGACGUUCUGUUCAGAUAGAUCCGUAAUUCCAAACAAAGCCUCCCCAGACCUCUGGAGAACAGCUUUCUCUGCCUCAGGUUCAAAACAGAAGAUUACUGAUGUUAAAACCGGUCUUCGGAAGAUGAAAGAGCGACGGCAGGCUGUAAGCUGGUGUCCUGCGGGGAUCAGAAAUGACAACCGACAAGCCGCAGGGCACCUCUUCCUCCUGGAAAAGCUGUGGCAUAAAGCAAUGCCGACGUCUGUGCCAGAAUGAAAGCGUCUGACGGCCACGCUGAGUCAAAGGUGUUUAUUGACUGUCCUUCAUCAUCAUGCUGGCCCCGGUUCCCCCUUUUCCCCCCCCCAGCUUGGGUUAUGAAUCUGAGCAGCUGGCCAGAAAAGAUCACCUGGUCGGACCUCAAAGAGCUGCUAAGGAAGUGAAACAUUUACGAGGAAGCAGGCAAAGAUGCCAGGCAGCUUUAAAAUGCUGGCACAUCUGCUGCAGG